AUUGAACGCUGGCGGCAGGCCUAACACAUGCAAGUCGAACGGUAACAGGAAGCAGCUUGCUGCUUCGCUGACGAGUGGCGGACGGGUGAGUCAUGUCUGGGAAGCUGCCUGAUGGAGGGGGAUAACUACUGUAAACGGUAGCUACUACCGCAUAAUGUCGCAAGACCAAAGAGGGGGACCUUCGGUCCUCUUGCCAUCGGAUGUGCCCCGAUGGGAUUAGCUUGUUGGUGGGGUAACGGCUCACCAAGGCGACGAUCCCUAGCUGGUCUGAGAGGAUGACAAGCCACACUGGGACUGAGACACGGUCCAGACUCCUACGGGAGGCAGCAGUGGGGAAUAUUGCACAAUGGGCGCAAGCCUGAUGCAGCCAUGCCGCGUGUAUGAAGAAGGCCUUCGGGUUGUAAAGUACUUUCAGCGGGGAGGAAGGGAGUAAAGUUAAUACCUUUGCUCAUUGACGUUACCCGCAGAAGAAGCACCGGCUAACUACGUG
rnacentral:rRNA from 1 species